rnacentral:misc_RNA from 1 species
GAUGAAGAACGUAGCGAAAUGCGAUAAGUAAUGUGAAUUGCAGAAUUCAGUGAAUCAUCGAAUCUUUGAACGCACAUUGCGCCCGCUAGUAUUCUGGCGGGCAUGCCUGUCCGAGCGUCAUUUCAACCCUCAAGCCCCCGGGCUUGGUGUUGGGGAUCGGCGAGCCUCCGCGCCCGCCGUCCCCUAAAUCUAGUGGCGGUCUCGCUGUAGCUUCCUCUGCGUAGUAGCACACCUCGCACUGGGAAACAGCGCGGCCACGCCGUUAAACCCCCAACUUCUGAACGUUUGACCUUGGAUCAGGUAGGAAUACCCGCUGAACUUAAGCAUAUCAAUAAGCGGAGGA